AGAGAGAGACAUGCGCGCAUAUCAAUAAGCGGAGGAAAAGAAACUAACAAGGAUUCCCUUAGUAACGGCGAGUGAAGCGGGAAGAGCUCAAAUUUGAAAUCUUCAAGGUUUUACCUUGACGAAUUGUAGUUUAAAGAAGUGUUUUCUGCUGGAGUUUUGGUAAAAGUUCUUUGGAAUAGGACAUCAUAGAGGGUGAGAAUCCCGUAUUUGACCAUUAUUUCCAGCUUUGUGAUACACUUUCAAAGAGUCGGAUUGUCUGGGAAUGCAGUCCAAAAUGGGUGGUAAAUUUCAUCUAAAGCUAAAUAUUGGCGAGAGACCGAUAGCGAACAAGUACCGUGAGGGAAAGAUGAAAAGAACUUUGAAAAGAGAGUUAAACAGUACGUGAAAUUGUCAAAAGGGAAGCGUUUGACACCAGUGUUGUUUUCUCGAAAAUCAAUUAAAAAUGGCUCGAUUUUGUAUUGCUGAGACCUUAAAAGCUCACUGUACAUUUUUCGUGUCUUUUUUAAUGCACUUUUCGUUUAACAAGUCAACAUCAGUUUCUUUUGUUGUAAAAGGGUCAUUGGAAGGUGGCUUUCUUUUCGGAGAAAGUGUUUAUAGCCUUUGGCCUCUGCAAUCGAGGAGACUGAGGUCUGCAGCGUAGACUCUUCGGGGUUAGAUACAUUUGUGCUAAGUUAUAGCUUUUUAUAGACAACUUGUUGACUAUAAUUAGUCUUGUAGCUUACUCGCUUAUGCUAUUUUACCUACGCUUAGGAUGUUGAAGAUGUAGCACAUCAU
rnacentral:rRNA from 1 species